AAAAUACUCCCUCCGUCCCAAAAUUUUGUCUUAGAUUUGUCUAGAUACGGAUGUAUCAAGUCACAUUUUAGUAUUAGAUACAUCCGUAUCUAGACAGAUCUAAGACAAGAAAUUUGGGACAGAGGGAGUAGUUG
rnacentral:pre_miRNA from 1 species